AGAGUUUGAUUAUGGCUCAGGAUGAACGCUGGCGGCGUGCCUAAUACAUGCAAGUCGAGCGAACCACUUCGGUGGGAAGCGGCGAACGGGUGAGUAACACGUAGGUGAUCUGCCCAUCAGACGGGGACAACGAUUGGAAACGAUCGCUAAUACCGGAUAGGACGAAAGUUUAAAGAUGCUCCUGGCAUCACUGAUGGAUGAGCCUGCGGCGCAUUAGCUAGUUGGUGGGGUAAAGGCCUACCAAGGCGACGAUGCGUAGCCGACCUGAGAGGGUGAACGGCCACACUGGGACUGAGACACGGCCCAGACUCCUACGGGAGGCAGCAGUAGGGAAUCUUCGGCAAUGGGCGAAAGCCUGACCGAGCAACGCCGCGUGAAUGAAGAAGGCCUUCGGGUUGUAAAAUUCUGUUAUAAGGGAAGAAAGGUGAUAGGAGGAAAUGACUAUCAAUUGACGGUACCUUAUGAGAAAGCCACGGCUAACUACGUGCCAGCAGCCGCGGUAAUACGUAAGUGGCAAGCGUUAUCCGGAAUUAUUGGGCGUAAAGAA
rnacentral:rRNA from 1 species